UCGGGCUCAGCAGACAAUGGGCGUUUCACGGCGGGACGUCGCUGCUGGACCCGGGCCCGCCGCUGGGAAGGAGGCGGCGUCCAGCCCGGGCCCCGAUCGCCGCCUCAGGACAGCCCCAAAUCCACCUCUUUUGGCCAGGCCCUGCCCAUCUCCGGGAGGAAAGAGAAAGCUGGAAGAGCCAGGGUGGCACCCACGUGUGGUCAGUGCCUGGUGAGUGGAGACCCUGUGUCCUGCUGAGGGCCACGCCAGGCAGUGAGGGAUGCACAGUCCAGCACAACGGUCUGAGUUGGGGGACGGUGCUUCCUGGAGGUACUGACCGGCUGGAUGUCAAGAUGAAGAGGAGUGACAGACAGACACACCUACUGGAACCAGAAAGUCAGGGGACAAAGGGGCAGAGAGACCGGCCAGACAGGAGAGAGCCGCAAAGACGGAAGACCAGGAGAUUGCAGACGCAGCCAGGGUGCAGGCGGAGUUUCUCCCGUGGGGGAGGGUGACCGGGACCAGCAGCCAAGGCGCAGCGUCAGGUGGGAAGGCUCCUGCUCAGAGAGGAGGGUCCCCCUCUUCCAGCCCGUGGGCUGUAGCUCUCUGGCCCGCACCACGCCCACAGCUGCCUUGUCCCACCCCGCAGCCAAGCCACAGGGACUGCCUGCUGUUCCCUGCAUCUCAGACCUUGUUGUGCUGCCUUUCCUGCCCGGAAUACCCUUCCCCCUUGGCCUUCGCUCCUCAACACACAGCCACACCUGGCCUCCUUGGAAAGCCCGUCCAGAACCUCGAAGGGCCCUGUGCAGGUGGCAGCGGCAGCCUUUCCAGCGGCCCUGUGAGGAUCUGCUGCUGGGCCGUGGUGGACGGGUGGCUGAGGAAGGAACCCACGGAUGGAUUCUCAAAUGGACCCUAGCGACCCUCACCGCCUCCCCUCCAGGGAGAGAAGUGGACGUACAUUGCUCCCCACUGGUGGGUCAGGGACAGGCCACAGUCUGGCCCAGAUGCUGUGCUCUUAUUUCGCCCUAAUGUACACGAGAAGCCCGCGUCUGUGGCCAGAGGGACAGGCUGCCUGCUUCUGCCGGGGCCAGCGCGGGGCGGCCCAGAGGUAGCUGCCAAUGGGAGGGGCAGGGAAGCUUCAGGCCCACCUCAGGCCAGAGGCAGACCAGCCUCUCCUGACUUGCCACACCUAACCCCUAACAGUGCCAGACUCAGGGUCCGGCAGGUACGAGAUGGGACAGGGAAUCCAAGUGGCCCCAGAGACUCUUCCUGUCCCUACCACAGUCCUUCCAUCUCUGGCAUUGAAAAACCCAGAGGCAGAGCCCACAGGAGGCGGGGCCCAGACCUCGGCCGGGAACGGGGUGGGUGGGAGGAGGGCAUAGCUGGACACUGGGGCAGCAGGCAGGAGAUGGGAGCCAUAUGAGGGCAGAGGGCUGGAGCCCUGUUCCCAGGCCCCCAGGGACACAAGCCAAGGUUGCCUGCUACCAGCCUGCUGGCAGAGGACCUGCAGGGUCCCCUCCCCAGGCUGAUCCAAGGGUGGCAGGAACCACAGCCCAGCUGGGGUUUCAAUCAGAAUCGUGUGCCGGUUGGUACACCUGAGGCUGCAGGCACACGUGCACACGUGCAGGCCACACAGCUGUUAACAGCAGGCUGCCUGGGAGGACACAGAGCCGGCCCCUCCCAUGCCUCUAUGCCCUGGUGGGGAGGGGAGUGGGAGGGGCCAUCUUCCCCUUCCCAGGUCCAGCUGUAAGCAGCCCCUGGCAGGGGGCCUUCCUCAGAGGAAGUUCUCAGGAUCUGCUCUGGGGGGAGAGGCCCCUUCUAGGGGAGCUUCCCUCCCCACUGGAAACUCCACCAGAGGCCUAGUCACCCCUGCCCGGCUCCCAGCCGCAGCCUGGGACUGGAACGUGAUCCCUCCUGAGCCCCAGUGUAGCCCGUGGGGGCACAGUGCCCUCUGAUGAGCUGCAUCAGUGUCACCAGAGUGCUUGUCGCUAGGGUGCUGUCUCAUUUCUGAGAUCCCUGUUGCUCUUCAAUGAGAGGCGGGCACUCUCUGGGACUCUGGGGUGUCAGGGGUUACUGGGGCUAUUUCAGUGAUUGUGCCUGCAGCCCCCAGCCCGGCUGGGCCUUGGGGGCCUGUGUGGGGAGCCAUGGUUCACCUAUCUCAAUGGUGGGGGGGCGGCUGGGGCCAGCAGAGCAGGACAGGAGACGGAGCCCAGCUUUCAUCCCCCCUGCCCCCCGCCCCAGGCCUCUAGGCAAGGGUAGAACUUGUGGGGGGAGGGAGGGCAGUUGGCCUGGAGCCUGCAGGUGGAGGCAAAGGGCUGGGGCAGGUGCAGGGGCAGGAGAGAGGCCUGUUUCUGCAGCUGUUUUCCACCUUCCUGUGGUGAUGGGGGUGGGGGCAGGCUUUGCUUCUCAGGGGGCUGGGGAGAAUUAACCAUUUAGGAAGGAAGCAAAGCAGGCUGGAGGAGGCUGAGCUGGCCUGACUGUAGCAGGGUGAUGGUGAGAGUGACCUCUGGCUAGAUCCACGGCCCUGAAGUCUGGGCCCACUCCCCUGCUAACCUUACCUGGCAGCCCCAUGCCACCCUCUACACUCCCCCCACCUCAGCCUGUAGGACUGGCGGGGCAGGGGGCUGUAGCCCCACACCUGGGCCAGCUAGCCCUGACCAGGUGAAUCUAAUUUCUCCUCUGUGCACGUGGGUCCCAGCACCCCCAGAGAUGCUGUAAGGGCACAGGCAGGCCCCACCGAAUCCACUCUGUCCAGCACCCUGGGGGAGGCCAGUAUAGACAGCAGGAGAGGGGAGGACAGUUUCAAAACAACUUUUUUUUUUGCAUUUCCAAUCUGCAGGGGAGAAUGGAGACCAGGGCUGUUCUCUGGGUGUGGAGCAGGGGGAUGGGGUGGGGUCUGGAAAAAGCCAAGAGCUGUUUCCACUAGCUCAGUCUGGCGCAGUGAAGGGACUGGAUCCAAAGGCCUUUGGUUUCUGGAGCAGCCCCCCACCCAAGCCCCCUGGGGCUGCCCCAGGGAGGACACCAGCCAGCCCACCGUGGGCCCAGGGGAAGACAAAGCUGGCACAGGUCCAUUCUAGCGCUGACUAUCUACCACGGACCCCCAGGUGGGGAGAGGACAGGCGGGCGGGGUGGGGGGGGCGGUCACACCCCACCUGAGCUGAUGCCCCACCCCUGGCUGCUGGAAGGAAGGAGAAAGCCUGGGCGGGCAGCCUCCAGCCUGGGCCUGCCUGGGGGAGGGGCCGAGGGCGCUAGGCGGGUCUGGAGGGGUGGGGUGAGAACCUACAGUCUGGAAGAGGGAAACAGGGACAGGAAGCAGCCACCUCCCACCUCAGGGAGGAAUGUGGCGGGAGUAGGACAGGCUCAGAGGACUUGGGGGUACAGAAGCUAAGUGCCAGACAGCAGAGGGAGCCCGCCCAGGAAACUCCCUCUGGACUUCUACCUGCCCCCGCCCUGCUUCAGGGAGAGCCAGUCCCUGUCUGGGGGUGUCUGCAGUCCACAUCCAGCUCCGAGGCCAUAGCGCCUGCACCAGUGCCAGGCUGGCCCGGGACCCAGCACCUCUCCAGCCUGAGCUACAUAGGACUGCCUUCCCAAAGGCCCUAGAAAGCUGGCCUGGCAGGGAGGAAGGGAGGGAGGGUGCUCACUGGAAUCAGGCUGGCCAGGCUAGGCCAUGGCCGCCAGGACCCCGGGCUUCAGGGCUGGGCAGGGCUGAGCUGGGCCACAGCCAGACUCACCGACCCUGUCCCUGUGCCAGACCUGGAGAGGGCAGACAACACUUCCUUUCUCUGCUCCUGGCUCCUAGUGGGCAGGGAAAGGCCUGGGGAAGGGCCCCAGGCCUGCAUCCCUCCUAGGGGCUUCAGGGGGCCCCAGGACCAGUCUUCAUAAGGUGGGGGAGGGGAGGGUGGUGGGAGUGUAUGGGUGCUGCCCAGACCAGGGCAAAGUGGCUGAAGGCUGGAGGAGAUGCCUGCUCAGCUUCCAGCCUGGGCAGGCUCAUGGUGCGUGGGCAGCUGGCACUGGAAGAGGCCAGGCCACUUCCCUGACAAAGCAGGGGGCGAGGGGCUCCUUCCUGAAGAGGCUGCUCUGAAGCAGAGCAUCGUCUCCCUCACCCACAGGUGGCGCAGAGGGAGGGACACAUACCUGUCUCAGUUAUGCUCGGAAUGUGGCUCCCCAGGCGGAGGAUUGGGGAGGAGCUUCCUGGGGGCUGGAGGCUGGGGAAGGGGCCCAGAGCCAGGAAGACCCUGCAGGCCCUGGGGGAGAAACUGAGGAAGGUAGUCCCAGUAGAGCUGGGGCCCAGGUGGGGAUGAGCUGGGGGCAUCCAGGGAGGUGGGCCUGGCAGGCUGUGCCCCUGACCUUCGCGGCUGUGGGCCUUUUGGGGGCCGGGGAGAGGUGUGUUAGAGACAGGGGUCUUGGGUGGUCUUGGGGUCACCUCCACAAAUCAGUGGCCUUCACUCUGGGCCCUGUGGGGCAGGGGCAGCUGUGGGCUCCCAGGAACAGAACAGGGUCAGAAUCAGACAGGGAGGGGUCAUCUUAGUUCAAGCCCUGCCCAUCCCUAACCCUAACCCCCCACUAGGGUGAAGCCUUGUCUCCCUGGAGAGCCUGGAGUGGGGUUUGAGGCCCUUAUCUCCCACAGAGUGGAAGGCGGGCCCUCCUCCCAGCCGCACCUUGCUGGGGCAGGUGGGGAGAGGACUGUCUCUUCCCCAAGCCCGGCCCCAGCUCCAGGGGGCCUUUUGCCUCAGGCCUUCGGGAGGCUCAAGGGGGAGGCACCCCCAUCUAACUGGGGUCCCUGGGAUGCACCCACCCUGCCCGCAGCCCCUGCUCCUCAAGGUGCCCCGGUUUGCUUCCAAAGAAGGGAUCCGUGUCAUGGGCUCAAAACUUCCAGGGCUCCCUGGCCCCUUGCAGUGGACCCCAAGCUUCUCACUCUGGGCCCCUCCCCUCCCUGGGGGCUUCCCCUCCACCCUGGCUCUACCACAAGGCUCCAAGCUACAGUCAAGGCUACUUCCUUUCCUUUUCUCUCCAUGAACCUCCUUCCCCAAGACCCUCCUCCUGGCAGGCCCACCCCAGAAGACUCUGGUGGCCUCGGCCCCUUCUGGGUGCUCACCCCGUUGCUACACACUGGCCUGUGGGUCCCAGCACCACCCUCCCCCACCGGCCCAACUGGAGCUGGGGGCCUAGCCCGGUCCCUAUCCUGGGCAGCCGGCACACAGAAGGUGAAGUCUCGCUGGGAGCUCUCCCUGUGGGCCCUCCUUUCCAGGUGUCCCUCUGCCCAGCCUGAUGUAUCCAGAACCAGGGCCUGGCCUGGGUAGAGCAGGAUCUGGCAAGACGGCAAAUCUUGUUCUGCCUGGGGUGGCCCUCCUGCCACAUGCCCUCUGACCCCACAGAAGGGCUCAGUUACCGAGUCGUGGACCCUCAGGCUGGACCGGUCCAGCUGCAGAGUUAGUGAUGUGCCUUCUUGAUCUUGCAGAAAUGGGGGCUCUCUGUGCCCUGACCCUCUCCUUAGCCCCCAACUCAUCUUUCAAAACUGGGCAUCACACCCCACAGCCUGCCCCAUCUCCAUGCCACCCUCCCAUCUCUUCCCUAGACCACAAGCUUCCAGAGCAGGGCCAGGGUCUCCAGUCCUCACCUGGUGGGAGGGCCAUGCUGGGACCUCCUCAGCUAAGCUGGUGAUACAAGGGACCAGUGACACAGCCCCACCGGCCUCGCUGUAUGAUGUUGCAGGCUGGGACCCUGGACACAGCCCCAGGAGCAAUGGACUACAGGCCGCGCAGGAUGCUACAGGGCUCCCCACUUCAGGUCCUGCCCCUCGCCCUGCACAGUCCACCACCCAGGACCCCGCAAAAGCCAAGCCAGCACCACAGCAGUAAGUUGGGUGGAAGACGGAACUUCCCUGCUGGCCAACAGAGCAAAUCAGAGGGACAGGGUCACCUUCCCAGGACAGGAAGUCAAGGACCCUUCCCACUGCCCUGGGAGGAAGCAUUCUCUCCUCUCUCCGCCCUCUCCAGUACAUCCCUUCCCAGGCAGCCAUGAGGGGACAGACAGGAUGUGAGGGCGACAGGCAGUUCCUAUGUUCUCCCUGCUACGUUCCUCAGCCAUGGAUCUCAGCCCCCAGCUGGGAUUCGCCUGGGCUGAGGUGGGUGGGUGAGCCCUGGUCGUGUGAUUCCUGCUCACCUCUCGGAGGCUGGGGUGAGGGAGGGAUGCUCUUGGGCCAUUCAGAACGGACGCAUGGGGAGGGCAGACAAGGAGAGGUUUUGUACCUCUGUGAGGGGAUCCCACACCCACUCAAACUCUGGAAGCAGCCCACUCCACAUAACUGCCCCUCCCAGAAAUGACAGGCCUCUUGGAACACAUGGUGGGGUAGCCCCACCUCCAGCACAACCCUUAAGCCCCACCCCAACGGGUUUGCUCAACAUCUGGGCCCUGUCUAAACAGAUGUUUGGGCUUCUGCAGAACACAAACAACUGAUGUUCAUUCACCUGGUCCCAGCCUCUCUCCUAGAACAGGGAACUCCAGGAAGGGCCGUGCAGAACUACGGAGGGGGAGGGGAAGAGAGAGGAGGCCUGUCCCUUUGCAGGGCUGGGACUCGCUUGGCUCCAAGACAAAAAGUGGUGGCAUCUCCAGGGCCAGGGUGGGGAGCGCUGCUUAUAUCAGAGAUUGGAGCUGAGACGGCUGGGAAGCCAGGGAGCUGGGACUCAGAAAAGGAGGUUGCACCACGAGAUGCCAAGUGCUCUCGCCGCCAGCAAACUCUCUCCUGCCCCCACGGUGCCUCCCCUGCUCUGCCCCUUCACGCACCUUCCACGCAGUGUUCCACCUCCUCCAGGUUCCGCAGGGUGAUGCGCAUGAGGCUGGAGUUGAGCAUCAGCUCAUUCUUGUGGGCCGGCCACAGGUACGGCGGGGCUGGGUUCACAAAGAAGAUCCUGGUGUCCCCAGUGGACACC